GGGCCGGUAGCUCAGUUGGAUAGAGCGCCGCUCUCCGACAGCGGAGGCCGCAAGUUCGAGUCUUGCCCGGUUCA
rnacentral:tRNA from 1 species